rnacentral:rRNA from 1 species
UACGUAGGGGGCUAGCGUUGUCCGGAAUCAUUGGGCGUAAAGCGCGCGUAGGCGGCCAGACAGGUCCGUUGUGAAAACUGGAGGCUCAACCUCCAGACGUCGAUGGAAACCGUCUGGCUAGAGUCCGGAAGAGGAGAGUGGAAUUCCUGGUGUAGCGGUGAAAUGCGCAGAUAUCAGGAAGAACACCCGUGGCGAAAGCGGCUCUCUGGGACGGUACUGACGCUGAGACGCGAAAGCGUGGGGAGCGAACAGG